CUAAUUGCAUGGCAUACAAUCUU
rnacentral:piRNA from 1 species